rnacentral:lncRNA from 1 species
CCCCUACACAACUCCCAGAAACAAAACCGCCUAACUUCGUGGCUCCAGUGGAAUCUCUCAGUUUGAUGUCAUGAAGUGGAAAUGGCCAAAGAUCCAGUAAGAAUGAUGUAAAGACACGGAAUCACAGCUCUGUGAGGGCCAGAGCUAUGGAAAUCGGAGGAAAUUGGACUUCACCGUGUUGGUGGCACACCCUGCCACCCUUGCCAGGAAAGGAAACGGGAAAAGGAAUCUGAGAAACCUCAGGACAAUUACAGUUCAUUUCCAUACCCUGACUGACAAUGUACUACCUCCUGCUACGGACCGACGUAAGCCUCUUGUCACACCAAGCUCUUAGGCAAAUGGAAUGGGACCAGAUGCAAGCGAUUUAAUAAGAACUUUGCAUAAGUAAUUAUUUAGUUAUUGAUUGUUGCUUGGAGCUGUAUCAUUCUGAAUGGUUCAAAAGCUUGCAUCCUAAACUAAGGUAAGUAAAGAGAAGUUGGAUGCUCAAGGUAGUAAAAAGAGGCUGAAUUUUUUUUUUGGCAUUUAUUGAGUUAAUUGUUUUUCUUUUUCCUUAACAUACACUGAGUAGUUAUAUAAUAUAAAAAGCUCCUUUUCAUAUCCCUCAAUGUGUACUCGGACUCCACAUAUAGAAUACCCCCUCCCCUCCAAAAAAAAUUCAGUCGGUGCCAAAAUCUACAUUUUCAUUUGGCGAACUAGUUAAAUCUAUUCAUAAUCUGGUGCCUGAAUCAAAUUUCAGAGCCGACUAGACUGCCUUGGCUCCUGGUUUUUGUUUCUCGACCUGUCUCCGACUGAAUUUAGCUAUGAUGUUACAUCUUUAGCUGUAGAAUUUCUAAUAAGAGUGGCCUGUUUUCCUUUGCCGCUGAGGGGCUCCUACACAAGACUCAGCAUUUCCAAGCAGGGGCCCUUUGGAGCCACUGUGGAGCAUUCUCUGGAAAGAAACUCCUUGUUUCUUUAACUUUUUUCCUCUUUUUUUUUCUCUAAAUGUUCACUUUAAUGGCUCUCACACUACAUAAAACUCAUGUAUUCUGCAGUGAAUAAAUUUUGCAGACAAUGUUGUCAAGAAUCAGGAGAGAAAGCACGGAGAUCUCAGGAUUUAGUUGUAAAGACGUGAAGGAUUUUUCUAUUUGUGAGAUGGCAAGCAUGUGUGAAGACCGAGCAGGAGCGGACUAUGAGGCUCUGAAAGCUAGAAGGAAUAUUCGGGAAUAUUCAGAAGAAAGAUUGUUGUUAAGACUAUUGAUAAACGAAAAGGUCUCCAACACAAUAUGGGAACAUUGUUAAUACGUUUAUGUAAAAAAAAAAAUCUAAGUAAAUAUGGCAGUUUAAAAAAUGAAGUAA